AUUGAACGCUGGCGGCAUGCUUUACACAUGCAAGUCGAGCGAGCGGCGGAUGGGUGAGUAAUGUCUGGGAAACCGUCCGAGUGAGGGGGAUAACUACUGGAAACGGUAGCUAAUAUCGCUAGCCAUCUUAUGUGACCAGAUGUGAUUAGCUCGUUGGUGGGGUAAUGGCUCACCUAGGCGACGAUCCCUAGCUGGUCUGAGAGGAUGACCAGCCACACUGGAACUGAGACACGGUCCAGACUCCUACGGGAGGCAGCAGUGGGGAAUAUUGGACAAUGGGCGCAAGCCUGAUGCAGCCAUGCCGCGUAUAUGAAGAAGGCCUUCGGGUUGUAAAGUACUUUCAGUCGGGAGGCGUUACCGGCAGAAGAAGCACCGGCUAACUCCGUGCCAGCAGCCGCGGUAAUAC
rnacentral:rRNA from 1 species